CGUAGCGAAGUUACGCUAAUACCGCAUACGAUCCACGGAUGAAAGCAGGGGACCUUCGGGCCUUGUGCUAUACGAGCGGCCGAUGUCUGAUUAGCUAGUUGGUGAGGUAAAGGCUCACCAAGGCGACGAUCAGUAGCGGGUCUGAGAGGAUGAUCCGCCACACUGGAACUGAGACACGGUCCAGACUCCUACGGGAGGCAGCAGUGGGGAAUUUUGGACAAUGGGGGCAACCCUGAUCCAGCCAUGCCGCGUGAGUGAAGAAGGCCUUCGGGUUGUAAAGCUCUUUCGGCCGGGAAGAAAUCGUAUCAGCUAAUACCUGGUGCGGAUGACGGUACCGGCAUAAGAAGCACCGGCUAACUACGUGCCAGCAGCCGCGGUAAUACGUAGGGUGCGAGCGUUAAUCGGAAUUACUGGGCGUAAAAGCGUGCGCAGGCGGUUUUGUAAGACAGGCGUGAAAUCCCCGGGCUCAACCUGGGAACUGCGUUUGUGACUGCAAGGCUAGAGUACGGCAGAGGGGGGU
rnacentral:rRNA from 1 species